GAUGAACGCUGGCGGCGUGCCUAAUACAUGCAAGUCGAGCGAACGGACGAGAAGCUUGCUUCUCUGAUGUUAGCGGCGGACGGGUGAGUAACACGUGGAUAACCUACCUAUAAGACUGGGAUAACUUCGGGAAACCGGAGCUAAUACCGGAUAAUAUUUUGAACCGCAUGGUUCAAAAGUGAAAGACGGUCUUGCUGUCACUUAUAGAUGGAUCCGCGCUGCAUUAGCUAGUUGGUAAGGUAACGGCUUACCAAGGCAACGAUGCAUAGCCGACCUGAGAGGGUGAUCAGCCACACUGGAACUGAGACACGGUCCAGACUCCUACGGGAGGCAGCAGUAGGGAAUCUUCCGCAAUGGGCGAAAGCCUGACGGAGCAACGCCGCGUGAGUGAUGAAGGUCUUCGGAUCGUAAAACUCUGUUAUUAGGGAGGAACAUAUGUGUGAGUAACUGUGCACAUCUUGACGGUACCUAAUCAGAAAGCCACGGCUAACUACGUG
rnacentral:rRNA from 1 species